CUUUUCUAAAAGCACUUAGAAUAGCCUCUUCAUGUUCUUACAUUGGUAAAUCAUGUAUAAGAGAUAUGGUUUCAUCUUCUUGGUGAUUACGGAAGUGCUGAGCAUUCCAGGUCCUAAUGCUGAUGCCUAUACCUCAUGGUACAAGACAUGUGAAUGCAGUUAUGAGCUUUGGGCUCAACAGUGCGAAACUAGGGAAUAACCUAGAAGAUUUGUGUUUGUUUAUUUUAAUCAAAUGUCUAUGAUAGUUAUAUUUGUUGAAUUUGAUUAAUUGAAAUGUAGAUUUCUGGAGUACAACAACAAGAUGCUAUUAAUAUAUGCUAUGAUUUUUUACUUUAUUUCUUUAAAUAUCUAUGUAAAUACAAAAGCUUCUAGUAUUCAAAAUACCAUAUUCAGAGAUCAGGUUAAAAUAUUUUCAUGAUAUCUGGUGAGCACAUAAAAGUAAUUUGCGUUAAAAAUUUUGGUUACAGUAAUGGGAAGAAAGAAUGCUUCAUGGUAACACACUUCCACUAAAUUUGAAAUAAGAAGAAAAUCACCCAUCAUAAAAAUUUAAAUAGAGUUUAUCAGGUAAUGGUCACAAUAAAAAUUCCUGAUCGUAGUGUUGUCAAAGGAAGCCAGUUUUUGCCAUUUAAUGGAAUCAUUACUUUGCAUUUACUAGCUUUAUUUAGCAAAUGGUGCUCAAUGAUACAAGUUGAUAGUGAUACUAUCCAUCUAUAGUUAAUACAUAUAAUCAACACACUGUAGGCAAUUUACUUAAAGCCAAAGAACACAUAUGAGUAAUUGAGGAUAGGCUAAGACAUGAACUCUUGAGCUCUCAUAAAAUCACAUUUCCUGAGCCAUUCCUCUUGCUUGCUCCCUAUGGAAAAUGUUCCGGUACAUUCUAGCCUAGUGAGCCAAUUCAUCACCAAUAUUCAGCACUACUUUGACCCAAUAUUUUAUGUAGAACCUUGUGAAUGAGUCUAUGGUAUUCUUCCAGAAUUAUAUAGUUAUAGUUUGAUAUAAAUUAUAAGGUGACCAUGAAUCAUAUUCAGAAUAUCAUUGGUAAGCCAACUUCCUUUCCACUAUGUCUAUAUUGUACCUACAUGUCUUUAUAUCAACUUGGGUGUAUUCAAGGGAUUUUGCUCCAAAGUAUCCCUUAAGUUCAGAAAAUGGGUUGGAAUCUAAGUGGGAGCAAAAGCUUUUGGUGCUUUCGUAGAAAAAAGAUAUUCACAAAAUUAUCACCAAACUUGACCACUUCUCUUCACUGGCAUAUAUUUUAUUUUCUAGCCUUCUGAUUUGUGGGUUUUACUCUGCUAGAAAAAUGUAUUUCAGGGGAAAUAAAUCAAUUGGCUACCUACUUUCCUAUAAGUAUAAAGUCUCAUUGUUUUUCUACAGAUUGAUCACUAUGCCAUGAUGUUCUAUAUUCUUUUUUUUUUUUUCAUUUCUAUUUAAGAGGCAAUAAGCAAGACGUAAUUUCUUUCAAGAGCACAGUGAUCAUUCAUGGAACUGAAUAAUGAUCAAUGAAAUGAUAACCCAA
rnacentral:lncRNA from 1 species